CAAUUGUUAUGUUCUUAGGAAUCCUGAUUACUGGAGAGGAAAGAUUGUUAGGGUGAAAGCCCUAUGCACUUUUAAAGCAGCUCUGUGUUAUUAAAAGUAAACAAGUUUGAAGAAUUAACCUUUUACUAAUGAUCAGCAUACCCUCUCCAUUUUUGUCUUCAGUAGACCAACUGAUGAUAGAUCUGAUAUUUUAAUUUUUUGUAAUGCAGAGAGGAGACAAUUACAACAAAGUUGUAUUUUAACCAAAAAACUUGAUAAAGCCAUCCUUUUUUCAAUUUUAGAUCAUGUUUACUGAAGCAUGUUUCUCCAGAUUGCUCUACAUAAAGUCCUUUCUAAUAUUAUGAUUGAUGCCUGUAAAUACACAGGCAGUGAGAUGGCAAUCACCAAAGAGGGAGAAGAACUAUCAAUAAAUUUAAGGCUGAAAUUUAGAACAUUUCUAAUGAUCAGAAAAAUCAGGUUCUAAAAUAGUUUUUCAGCAGAAGUCUUGGUGGGAUGAUCUUUCACUACAGAGAUGAGAUAUGUGAUUUCUAGCUCUGUCAGCUUAAUCACAAGACUGUAGCACAGCCUGCAGUCUUUAUUUCUUGUGAAGAACCAAAAAAUAAAAACCCCAAUCCUGAAUUCCACAGUCUAAGCAUCCUACUGUCCAUGUGGGACAUAUCUGCAUUUCUAAUUUAGAGAUUAAAAAGAAAAAAAUCCACAUUCUUCACUAUACCUUGUCUGUGCAGACAGCGAGCUCUUACUGAGCUGUGGAGUUAUUUAACAUAACUUUUGUGGUAGUUGUAGGCAUGACUGUUUUUCUGCUGGAGGGCACUACCAUCAGAGUAGAGCUGGCAGAAAAGCUCAUACAAGUGUUUCUUAUUUUCUUCCGCAAAAGGUCAGCCAAGGUUAGCUCAAAAUACAUUGAACAAUAGGUUAAACUAUGCCAUCUGACUUUGUGCAGAAGUAGAUUAUGAAUGCCCACAAAGGCCAUUCCACAAUUGAGCUCCAGAGGCAAGUAAACUCGGGAAGAGAGGACACCAACAGUUUCUGCCAUUUCUGUGGUGACUGACACAGCUCAGUAUCUGUAUCCAUGCAACCAGUUAUUUCUGCUUCAGUCUGAAUUACAGUCUCCUUGCAGAGAGAACUGUUGAAAUAUUAGGCUUGUAACAUUUCUGGACAGGUUGAAAAUGCUGUGCUUCCAGAUAUAUGCAUUCUGAGAUGCUGUCCUGUGGUGCACCGAGAAAUGCCUCAUACCUGGAAGGAAGAAAUCAAUGGGCAACACAGACUUGUGCUUGCUUCCAUGCUGCCCUGAUGUCCAUUUCUUCUUGGCCUAUUUGGGUGGUUCUGUAUCACACUGCUGGUCCUUGCAAGUGCUGAAAUGGGUGUUUUGACACCUGGACCAAUGAAUGUCAAUAAAUCUUUUCCGGAGCAAAAAGUAAGAAACACAUACCAAAUGAUAGCAUCUGCUUUCCAGCAGUGAGUGACUUAUGAACUUCCUAAACCACUUGUUCUUCCUGGGAGAAGAACAUCCCAACUUCUGUGUUUAUUUAAUGCACAUGAACUUUUAUUUUGUGUUGAUAUUCUGGGAUGUUUUUGCACCUUGUUUUAAAUCUACUUAUGCUUUUGACCUCCAUAAUGUCUCAUGGCAAUGAGUUCCACAAUUUAUUUAUACAUUAAAGGAGGGACUGGUUUGCAGGACUUGCAAUGCACUGCAGCUACAUAUUCCUCAAAGCCUGUUUGCCAUUUUAGUGCCCUCGUUGCAAAGUUCCAGCCUACAGGGACACACAGAGAAAGUAGAAAUGGAAAAGAUCUAUUGUGUCAGAGUGUUAGCUCCAGCCUUAAUAUAAAAUGUUUCAGUCACAGCUUGACAUAAUAACAUCAAUGUACUUAAAAGAUACAGCAGGUCUCAGAACAGUCUGCAGGGUGUGAAAACAAAGAUUUCUACAGCCCCCAGGGUGUUUUUCCUCAACAGAAUGAACAGGGGAGGAUUCAUGCUAGAGCUACUGUGAACAUCUCUAUUGGAAUAGUUGAUAUUUUGAGUAGGUUUGUCAUUUUCCUGACCAUUGUAGUUCUAAAGAUAUUUCCUGUCCUUCUUCAACUGUUGCUAGACUAACACUGUGUGCAUUUCCUUGUAUAGGUAUUACAGAGAUUACAUUGUUUUAUUAACGAACCACAGUUUGUAAGAAUCUUCAUGAGGAAUACAGUUGGUUUUCCAUACCAUAAACACUGGUUAAAGAAGAAACAACAAAUUGGUGACAGUUUGCCAUAGUGAGUCAGUCUAGAAAUAAAGGUCAGUCUUGAAACAUUAAGGUAAUAACUCACUGUGGCAAUUUUCUAAGGAUUAUGCAGUAUCAUUUCUCACUGGAAAUUACUUGAUCAAUAGUGGAUUCCCUAUUUUUCCCCUAAGCUUCUUCUGUAUUUCAAAGAAAUGGAAAAUUAAGGAAGCAUUACAUCACUUUAUUUUAGAUCACAUUAGGGUAUCACAGUGGUCAUGUCUAAUAUUAUAUAAAUUAUGAAAUAAGAACAAAAGAAGAAUUCAGAAUAACCGUAAAUGAUUGAAAACCACAAUUUCCUCUGGAAUAAUUCAGAAUAAAUAAAGACCAGCUAGUUUAAACAAAAAUUCCUCCAGUAACUUACUGAGGGCUUUUCCUAACAAACAACAACAUCAACACUGCAGAUUUAUAUAUGUUUAUUUAGUGGCAAUUCAAAGUGGUAUACAGAUGAUUUAUGGGAAUUUUUCAUGCAUCUCUAAAAAGCAAUCUUUUCUUGAGUAGAAAAAUUGUAAUUAUCAACAACAAUACACUGCAUUCUGGAUCAGCAGUGUGAUUUCUGGAUAUCUGGAUAAUUCAAUCUGUAGGCAAAAUAUAUGAGCUGCUGUUCAUUUUCCUCUUCUCAGAAAAUAAUAAGAAACAAAUGCUGAAUAAAAUCCCUGUGUGCUAAAAACAUUCCUCCAAAUCAAUCCUCAAUAUUUGAUUGAGAUAUCAUAGAUUUGACAUUAACACAGAUAUUUUUUUCUCAAAAACUAUAUUGUGGUUUUUUUUACUCAGGAAAUUUUAAAUCUUUCAGUCCUGUUAUUGGAUGAAAAGUUUUAUUUCCAUCCUUUUUAAAUGGAAAUUUCUAAGCUUUGUGAUUGUAGAGAAAAUAUUAUAGAACUGCAGCAAAGGUUCAGUAACUGUAAACCAAAUAAACCCCAGGAACCCCAUACUUCUUUUAAAAUUCUUUGAUGCUUGAGGGCAGUAAUACAAUUCUUGACAACUGGGACAAAAGACUUUAUCAUGCUCGGGACUGAACAAUAUUGUAAUUCCUACUUCUUUGUAGCCAUUUGUUGUUGUGAGAAAUAACUUAGAUGGUUUUAUAGCCUCACUUUGCAUUCCAACAAACUCAUACAGAUUAAGUGACUCCAAAGUUAAGAUGUUACUUAUUUUCAAAUGUAUGUCUUUUGUUCCAAAGCGCCCUCAAUUAAUGGAAACAUUCAGUGGUGUGCUGAACAAAGAUACAAAGCUUUUGUAACAGAUGUAAUUUUGAAAAAUUCAGUAAUUCAUCAAAUCACCUUCCUGAGUUUAUUUUACCUAGAUAGAAAUGUCAUACACAUUUUAAUUAGCACAGUAUAUACUACUGCUAGGUUUUAAACCAGGUACAGAUAUUUAAUAUCUGAUAAUGUAUGUAGCAAGAACAAUAAAUUGGCAGUUUUUAGUUAGCUGAAUACAAAAUUGGCAAAAUUUGAUAGACGGCAGUUACAUAAAAGGAGUCCAUUCCAUAUAACCAGAUCUCAAAACUCAUCAUAGGCAUUUUAUAUACUUUUAACCAUUAUAAGUGGCUCUGAUUUAUAUAUGUUUCUAUCUGAAGCAAGGCUUCCAGACUGCACAUGCAUGAAAUGUACCUUCCAGGCAUGUGGGGACUGUGGAGCAAGUAAGAUACAAGCAGCUCCACAAUUGUGCAUGGAUUUUGAGGGGAAAAAUGGAUGCCUACAAUAAGUUUUCGAAGUCUAGUUCCAUUUUUUUUUUUUUUUUGGAUGCUCAAUAUUAAUUUUCAGUGUAAUUCUGUUCCAGGUGUUUGUGUUCUACAAAAGGUUUUUGUUUCUAAGUACAUGUUCUGCUCUGGUAAUUAUCCCCCCUGCACUGUAAUUCAAGCCUGAAAGUUGAUUUAUUCUCCAUGUGUUCUUUGUACAAUUAAAUGUGUCGCCUUUAUAACUGACUUACAUCUGACAAAGCUGAUCUAAACAGUUGCAGAAAUGUCUCAUUGCCUUCGCAGUUAUGAGCCCAAUUAACUUGUCAACAUUUUCCAAUGGUUAUUUACUACAGAUUUACCACAGCUGUAAUCAGCUACAGAGGCAGGAGAAAGAAGGACAAUUGGAGUAGGGAGUGUCCUUCCUUGCAGUUUUCUAGGUACCAGUGGAGCCUCAUUACACAAGUAUUUUAGGAUGUGUAGGAGUAAAAAUGAUGAUGGGUCAGAAAAUUACAAAGAGGUUUGUUCAGUGAUUAUGAUCUGACUCUGAAGCCUACUGAAAUUAGUUUUUGUAUGAAUAAUUAUUUCAUUCUUGGUUGUUUCUACAGCCACAUUUGAAAAUUAUAUUAUCCAUCUGUUUUAGAAUACUUCAGAUGUCAUUGGCAUUUUCUACCUAAAGACCAGCUUCUGCUAUCUUCAUAUCUCAGAAUACCAUAGCUGCAUGGAAAAUGUGAAACCAGAAGAAAAUGAGAACAUAAGCUAUUGUUCUGAUAGCAUUAGUCCCUUUCAUCAUUUGCUUUUUGCAUGUAUGCAGUAUCAUCCAAACUAAAUUACUGCAGAACCUCUUAGGGAAGUACCACAAUUAAAGUUGUGUGAUUUAAAUAUGGCUAGAGACAGCAAGGCACCUUGCUAGAGAGCAGAUCAGUGCACAUUGCACUUUCUCGAGCUGUUGAAAAGUGCCAAGAUCAGAAGCUGUUGAUCUAGCCUGACACCUUUACAAUAAAUACUGUGUUCAAAACACCUUCAUUCUUUUAUGAGACUACAAGCAACUAUUCCCUUUGAGAGAGCUCUGCUCUCACACUGCAGAUCUGUUUUCUUCAGUGCAACAUCAGAGCAGCAGAGCAUUCCCUCCUGACAGGGGACAGGAGCAGCAGCAGCACUGGAGCUGCCAGAGGUUCCCAGCAGCCUUCUCCAGCUCUUAGGUCCGUCACUGCCCACUUGGUGGUGCCAUGUGGAUUGGGAAACACAUUUGCUGCCAGGGUUCAUCAAAACCUGUGAUGUUCACAAGGUUUGGCACUCUUUGAAAAAAGGCAUCUCUGUGAGUGUGGUUAUUUUCAAACCCUACUGGGGUGAGAGGCGAUGCUUUGCAUCUGAGAAAGUAUUUAUUGUGUUCAAACACAAAAUUAUGUUGAUCUGUCCAUAGAUAGCUCAAGUUGUAAUUCUGGUUUUAAGAUAAUUCGAGUUGUAAUUUUGGUUUUAAAAUACCUAGGACUUACAUGUAGUGAGUAUAAAGUUAAAGUUGUUUCUUUUCCAAGAGGGCGCUGUGGCUGAAUGGAAACCAUGGUAACUAAGGUGGCAUAAUGCCAGUACCUUGCUCCUGAGUGAUAAAAUGCAUGUAGAGUAGGUUUUGUGCUUAGCAACAAAAAGGUUGGGUUUUCAAAUAGCUCCCUCUAGCCCUCCAUUACAGGUGCCACCCUUUUCCUAUGCAGUAUGUAUCCCAGACUUCAUACUUUCAUGUUCAUUAAUCCUUUAGGCAUUCAAUAAACAGCAGAAAAUACAUUUCACACAAAAGAAAGUAAUUUAAUUGUUUUGGCCAUUGCUUUAGAAAAAUACACAACUCAGAUCUCUUCCCUGUAGAACUGUUGUGGAAUAUGACUCAUCCUUGCCCAACAUGCUGGAUGUUCACUUUAAUUAGAAUGUGUGCAUCUAAAGAUUGUUGUAAACAUUUGCUGUUAAUAGCAUAUUACUCCCUGUUUUACAAUGGGAAAUAUAAGCAAUCCUAAUAUAUUUAAUACAUUAAGCUGCACAUUUUAAGUCAUGUUAGGGUUGCACAUUAAUAGAAAUUAAUUAGGGAAAUUCUCUAAUUAGCGUAUGUUGGCUGCCUUACAAAUCACAUUGGCAUGAAUAAUUGGAAUAAUGCAAAUUUUACUCUACAGUGAUGCUUAAAUAUUUUCUAAACACUAAAUAUUGUUACAGAAAUCUUUGCUAUCUACCUAUGUGGUCAAUCUGGAUGGAGAUCCAGUUUAUUUAUAAUAAUGAAUGAAAAGACAUGAAGUGUUGCUACUUUCUCGUUGGUGAUGGUACAUGUGAAAUGGCUAACCUUUAUAGAAUCACAGAAUAGUUUGGUUUGGAAGGGACCUUUAAAUGCCAUUUAGUCCAACCCCUCCACAAUGAGCAGGGACACCUUCAACUAGAUCCAGUUGCUCAGAGCCCCAUCCAACUUGAUCUUCAGUGUUUCCAGGGAUGUGGCAGCCACUACCUCUCUGAGCAACUUGUUCCAGGGUUUCACCACCCAUGUCAUAAAAAAAAAAAAUAUUCCUUAUAUCUAGUCUACACUAAUCCUCUUUUAAAGCCAUUCCCUCUUGUUUUAUCACUAUCUGCCUGUGUAAAAAGUCUGUCCCUUUCUUUCUUACAGGCUCUCUUUAAGUACCAAAAGGCACCUAUAAGAUUUGCCCAGAGCCCUCUCCAUGCCUCUCCAACCCCAACUCUCUCAGCACUUACUCAGUAGGAUAGGUGCUCCAGCCCUCUGAUCAUCUUCAUGGUCCUUCUCUGGACCCAUUCUAACAGGUCUUUGUCCUUCCUCUGCUGAGGACCCCAGGCUGGAUGCAGUACUCCAUGUAGGGUCUCACUAGAUUGGAGUAGAGGAGUCCUCCCUUGACUUGCUGGCCACACUUCUUUUUUAUUUCACAUACACUAUUUUCCUCAGUGCAGGCAGGUGAAAUGCCUUUAUAUUUAGCUGGGAUCUAACCAACCCACACCCCAGUGCCAGCAUAUGACACAGCACAAACUGAUGAUCCAGAGAUUUUACAAUCUCUCUUGGGGGAUUGUAAUAAAGAACAGGAAUAUUAUGUCUUUCCAAAUGUGGCUCAGCAUACUUGAGUAAGCUUGACUGCUCUCAAAAUCUAAUAGAAGAGUGAUGAUACCAUGUGGUUUUGUGUGUAUGUCUUUCUCUGUUGUGCAGAAAUGAAUCAUAUUUGUCUGUAAGCAACAUACCUUUUUUCUCUUUUUCAAGUUCACUGACAUUUACUGACUCAGGAUGUACCGUAUUUCAUAACCAUGAUGCUGUAUCACCAUGUGUUAAAAGGAAGGCUCUAAGGUGUUAGACUAACUGACUUUAUUAGCAUCAUCUGUACUUUAACAGUGUUCUCACAUGGUCAGAUCGAUAGCACAUGAUUUAAACAUUAUCGUGCCUUUUACUGCUCAGGAAUCUUCACAGGGUGCCACUUCACACUUUCACAGAAGACUAUAUUUCAAUGUUUUUAUCUGUCAGCCAGAAAAAUCCCUGAACAGCAGAAUCUGAACUAAUCUUAUGUCUUGAGAAGUUUAUAGACACUUUAGUGUUAAUCUGAAGACCUAAUUGUACAUAUUUUUGAUCACAUCAUAAUUUCUUUUGGUGGAAACUUGACCAUUUAUGUAAAUGAUGCUCAUAUUUAAGCUGCACAAUGAAGACAUAAGAGUCUAGCUCAUUCCAUUCACUUGAUGAGGAUAAUGGUGCACCCCUGCACUGGGACAGGCUGGACUUCACCAAUUCUCCCACAGUUCUUUUGUGGCAGAUGAGGUGGUAGAGUUAGCUCCCAGUAGAAGCAGGAAUUGGAAGGAUGACAUUUCAGCAAAGGAGUAAAGCACAGAUGGAUUAAACCAAGUUUCUUUCAGAAGUAUUGAGCAGCAAAGACAGAGGAAGCAGUUCAUUUUUCACGAAGUAUGUUCUAAGUUGCAGCAAAUUCAAGAGGACUUGAGCAUGUUUGAUAAUACAAGUAAGCAGAAUAUAUGGUGGCUCCAACCAAAGGAUAGCCACUGAUGCUGACAAUGGCAGUUAUAACCAGCUCUGCACUCCCAGUGGACCUAGGUUACCAGUGCUGUCUGUCGUCCUUUCUCCAGACCCCAGUCCUGUGUACAAAGAGCUUCCAGUGGUGACUUUACACUCAGGCUUCCAGUUCCAGCAGCCCUGGCAAGACUGACUCUGGCUUUCACCAGCACCAUAUGUGGCUUAUCAGCAGUGGGAUUCCUCAGUCCUUGUGUGAUCCCAGCUUCCAGGUGUGAGUGCCACUGAAUGACUUUUGAAAAAGUAGAGAUUCAUGCAACUGCACCAUCACUUCCCUCAGCUUACUAAAAAACAGUGGCCUCAUGCUUAAAAGACAUCAUACAUUUUUUAUUGCAAGGAUGCAAGGAAUCCUUACAGGAGAUACCCCUCCAGGGUAAUGCAGCACUACUCUCAGGAGCCAAAACAUCUCACCUAAAAACAGCUUCUGCAGUUGAUGUAACCCACACUGAAAGGAGAUUUUGCACAAUAGUCACAAAAUAAUCAGCCUGGCAGACUUAUUUUUUCAAUUCUUUUCCUGUUUGUAGACAUCAAACCCCACUCCACCUGCAGAGGCACAAAAGCACCACAGUGCUCUCCCUCCAGCAUGAUACAGAUGUGUUUCUGUUACUUACCACCGCUGCUUAGACUGCAUCUAAGUCUCUCUUUCAGACCAAGAAAACGAAUGUUGUUUCUAAAAUAAUUUAAUCCAUGGGAUUUGUGGCUUUUUUCAGGAGAAAAUACUUGGCUCUGGUAACAACAUAGCAGUACUUAAAUUGUGAAAGGGUAACAGAAUUCAUUAGACUUGUAGAUUGCUGGAAACAGAUUUAAUAACAGACACAACAGGGUGUUUUGAUUGCUAAUAGCACAUCAGUUGGUGCACAACUUGCUACAGUCUCAGGUACCAAAAUCUGUUUGCAACCUGAAGCUCACUUGCUCUGGUCAUGCCUGCCCUGUCAGUUAAACACUGUCAUCAUCUGAUUAAGAGCCAGGAAACUCCUGUAUAGAAAGAGGCUUCAGAAAGAACUGUGAAAUGUGAAGCUUCAUGCAAUCUCAAACAUGCAAGCAUGAUGCUCACAUGUAACAAAGUGAGACAGCCACCUUUUUUAACUUUUGCAUUUCGAUCCUGUUAUAUGACUACUUGAGCUUUGAUCUGAUGUUCCAAUACAGAAAUAAGACAUUCCAUUUUGUAAGUUUAAUACACACCUCUCACAUACAAUUUUCUUUUCUUCUUGAGCAAAAAAUGGCAGCUUAAAAGACAAGUUCCCUGUGCUGGAAGGCUCCAGAAAAAUCACAUUUCGUACUGAAGGUCUCUCUGACUAAACUGCAUUGGGAGCAGAGUUAAAAUUCACUCCUCCCUCACAGCUCCAAUCUUGCUAUCUUGCCAUCAGUCUGCAUGAACCAAGCUACAGUGAUGUGGUGAGACAGAUUACUUAGGUUCACAUAUCCCUAAAGUGUGUGCCACACUAGAAAUGAAAUAAAUCCCUUCCAGGCUCACAAAGCUAAUACUUACUACACAUUGUACAUUAAUACCAUAAUAGAAAAGCAGUCCGAGUGAGACAGGUUGUUCCCUACCAAAUGUAAUGUUUCUAUAUGGUGGCCAAAACCACCUGACCUAAACUUGUUUCACCAUAUGCAUAGCAAUGGGACAUGAAAAAUUCUUCACAUAGAAGUACCUGAAAACUGAACUGCAGGUUCCCACAAAUUUCCCAUAAUUACCUCUUCAAAACAGUUGCAUGAAGAAUCGCUCGUUCUUAAGCUGACAGCCAAACAGGAAAGGGAUAUAGACAUAAAGGGACACAGACAAAACCAUGUUUCAAGUGUAAACAAAAAAACCCAUUAUUCUUCCAAUUAGAAACUAGUAACUAGGCAAGAGUGCCGACGAGUAAAAUGUCCCUUGAAACUGGAAGAAAGGAUAUAAAGUAGUUCUAGAAAAGAUGCAAAACUGAGAAUAGACUUGUUCCAGACAUCAACCCUAAAGACAGCAUUACCUUCAAACUCAAACUUACUGGAGCACUCUAGGCACACACACAUGCUGUGGUCAGUGUCCUACAAGGUGGUAGCAUUGGAAGCUUGAUCAGGAACAGGCUUUCCCAUCAGAUUAAAAAUCCAUGCUCCCAGCUCUUGUGAGCUUUGGGCAACUAACAUGCUCUAUGUCAGAAGACACAAUGACAACUAAACGUUCAGACCUCAUAUAAUUUGGAUGGAUAAUGGUACAAAUUUUUACAUGAUCCUGUACCAUUGGCAAUACCUUUGUAAUACUGGUUUGACUCUGCCCAGCAGGUGGGGCAGGUGACCAGCAGAAGAAUCUAUGCUGACAAAUUGCAUUGCAUCUAAUUUUCCUGGGGUGAACAUACUUUACCAGAGAACUACCCUGCUCCAGAGAAGCCUUCUGGGCCAAAAGUUCACCUGCUUGCAGGGAGAUGGAUCCUUCCACCAACUCUGCUGUGGGACAUCUGCUUUCCCACUGUGAAUAAUGUCUUCCGAGGAAGAGAUCCUGGCUCCACAAAAACAGGAAACAACUUUGCAACCAUCACAGUUGUGCAUAGGAUUUUGUCCUGAAAGUAUGGCUGGGGCACUGAAUGUGAUGACACCAGACAUCGCAAAGGAUGAGCCUGCUGGAGGGUGUAAGCAGCACAGCAGUGUACCAUAAAGUGAAACAGAGCAAUGUCGUGGUACAGCUACAUCACAAGACUUUUCAUGAUGCCAAAGUACAUAUCAAGGUGGUCAAAGGGCAUGGUUAAACUGUUGUCUGGUGCUGGUUGUAAUGUGUUUUUAAUCAAUUUCAACCCGUAAUUAAAAUUCACUUUAAAGAAAAUUACAGCAUCUUCAAUAUCAACAGUAUCUAUACCAAAUGCAUUCCACAGCUGUAUUCUGAACGUUACCUUAAUUAUAUUAGGAUGAACAGCACUGAAACAAUUAAAUAUUUCUGUUACAACAUUUUAUAAAACAGAGUAUUUUGUGCAAAGCAAAAAAAUCUUAAUAUGGUACAUAACUCAGGUGCAUUAGUUUCAGAGUGCAGCUCUGUACCCCAUUGCAUUAGAGGACAAAUGACAAGCCACACAUCCAAAGACUUUUGAAUUUUGAUACAACACACAUAGUGUCAUCUUCCACUAUUGUACAGCAUUAUGUACUUCAGAAAUAAAUCAAACAUAAACCUUCAAAUACACUAUGGCAAACUGUGCUGGAGAUACCAGUACAGUUCCAACUCAGAGAAGGUGAAGGAAUCUUGCUCUGAAAUAACGAAGCUGAUCGUUUUCUUGGUAAGACAUUUACCAGACUCCAAAUCAAAGACUUGGCAGAAAAGUUCUUGAAAAGAAAGUUACAUUGUAAGCCUGGCACUGACUUACACCCUUUCAAUUCACCUUCUUUGGUGACAGGCAUAAAAUUAAAGAUUCUCAGGUUUUUUGGGUUUUUUUUAAGGAAGGCAACCAUAACGCAUUUUUAAAUAUCAAUUCUGAUUUUUAGCUGCCCCAUCUCCCCAGCUUAUCUGACCACAUUUUGCUACAGGAUUAACCAUCAGUGCAAAACUUCUUACCUGCACAGACAUGAACAGUCACAGUAUCCAAGUUAAAAUCCACCACUGCCUCACAGUUCGUGUCACCCUUGUGUCAUCAUGGAUGCUGGGAGUAAACAAGACCUGAUCUAGCCCACACUUGGAUCAAACAAGGCUUCCAUAGGGAAAAAGGAUUGUUGCAACAGGAUGGGCAAACAAUCACAGAAGUCCUAGUAGUGAGUCAAAUUAGUACAUCCAGUUGCAUGUCCUUGCUACCUAAUAUGAAGCAUUGUUCCUCAUACAGCAGAUGCCAUGGGCUGCUGCAGAAGACUUAUGCCACAAGAUCAUCACUCUACAAAUUCCCUAACAGCACCUGGAGAGAUGCAAGUUUUUAAGCUAAAUCAGAAUAGAGUAGAAGAGGAGUUACAUAUGAGCCAUUUUUGUUCCAGCACCAGAAAGAGGCCUUCUUGCUGUUCACCUUCUUUUUAUUUUAUGUUUGAUACAGCUGAAUUUUCCAAAUGCCCUUGUGGUUAACCUUCUUUACAAAGUAUAAAUACCAUUCCAUUCUUAUACAAAAGAAAUACAGCUGUUUGUUAUGUACACACAUCUUGACAGCAAGUCAUUGAAAGAACAGUGCAACAUGAAAUUACAGAACCUACACCAACAGAGCACCUCUUCAGCUGCAGGCCAGGAAGUCCCUGCUGAGAAAGACAAUCUUUUAAGGUAAAAUGAUUUAACAUUUGAAUGGGAUAAUCAGAACUGUGUGAUGAUGUGCUGUCAUACCAUGAAUUAGUCAUAUUCUGGUUUACAAACUGUAGUUGCUGCAUUUCACUGAAGCCA